GACGGAGUCGCGGGAGCAACUGCGACAGGAAGGCGACUGGGGUCGGGCGGCCGAAGAUUCUGGAACAUUCUUGCCUCCUAAGGUUUUUGAAAUCCCGCGUGUAGUUCACAAUUACAGUGGAUCUCAGCUGGGGCACUGAAAUAGCCACAAGUGUCUUGCAGCGACCAUACCGGAAAGCAGAGCUCUAAAAACUGCUGUGAAGAAAACCGUCAGGGAGAUACUGAUGAUCAGCAUGAUCAAAGACGUUCAGAACAAACUAAGACGUUGUCCUUCAUGGGAUGUGAAGGCCCCAGAGAUACUGAAAAGGACCCCACGUGACAUUUAGUCGUCAGGUCUCCUGAGCCCCUCUUGGCUGUGACCGUUUCUCAGACGUUCUUUGUUGUUGAAGACCUUGACAGUGUUAAGGACUAGUCAGGUAUUUUGCAGCGGAUCCCUCCGCUGGGACUGUCUGAUGUAUUUCUCAUGAUUCCAACUAGGGUUACGGUGUUUGGAGGAAGGUGACCACGGGGGGAAAGUGCCACGGUUAUCCCACUGUAUCAAGAGGACACACCGCUGAGGGUAACCAGGGGCACCUGGGAGAGGCAGUGUGGGCGAGUUUCUCUGCUGUGAGGUUCUCCUCUCCUUGUCUCUUCCCACAUUGUACUCUUUGGGGGGAAGGGGGUUCAUGAGGCUUAUUUGUUUAUUUGUUUAUUUAUUUAUUUUUUAAAAAACCUUUUUUAAUGAAGAUACUGGGGAUUGAACCCAGGACCUCGUGCCUGCUCAGCACGUGCUCCACCACUGAGCUCUACCCACCCCCCCUAAAUUGUACUCUGGGAAGAUGUCACCAGGCACAGCCUGCUCUUAAAAAGUAGAGUUAUGCCCGCCACCUUGGGGGUGGAGUAUCUACAUAAAUUACUAGGAAUUUUUCUGUACAGGAAAUUUUUCUCCUUAACAAAAAUUUUUUUCCAGUGUAUGUCUCAUGCAACAUGUGAGACAUACUUAUGCUUAAAACUUGCAUAUUUUUUUAAUCUGAAAUUCAAAUUUAACUAGAUACCCCCCCUUUUUUUUUUCUGAAAACCCAACCCCAGACCCAUAUAUCUAUCUGCAGUUUUGACAUCUCUACUUGGGUGUCUAACAGGCACCUCAAAAUAACAAAUCCAAAUCUAAGCCACUGAAAUCCACCUCCCCCACCCAACCAGCAGUUGCUGCACUGCUGCUCAAGGCCUAGAACCUGGGAGCCGUCUUUGAUUCCUUCUCCCACAUCUGAUAACCAGUCCAUUGGGAAGUCAGGUCCAAUCCUCCCCCGAAAAUACAUCUAAAAAUUCAGCAACUCCUCACCAAGCCCAGUGUCCCUGCCCUGGUCCGUGCCACCAACAGCUCUUGCCUGAGUGGCUGCAGGAACCCACCACCCCCUCAAACCUACUUUCCCAACCUCCAUCCUGGCCCCCUGAGUCUAUCUCCAACACGGCAAAAUCGGCUAGUUACCCUGAAUGUGAGUUAGAGGCUGUCCUUCCUGUUUAAGGUCCUCCUGUGCUUCCAUCUUGCUCAGAGCAAAAGCCAAAGGUGCUGGCUGACACCUUACAGGCUUCUUCGCUCUCUGUCCGCAGUUCUGCUCCCUUGACGCUGACCUCUCUCCUCUCCCUUCAGGCCACUCCGGCCACACCGACCUCCAGCAGGCCGGCCGUGGCCCCCCUGUACUGCUGCUGCUCCUCUACCAGGAACACAGUCUGGCUGGCUUCUCUGUGUCUCCAAGGCCCCCUCCCCUACGCAGAGACGCCUUUCCUGGAUACCUGAAAUUUCUCCCCUCUGCAUUUUGGGUUUUUUUCCCCCCGUUUUGUAUUAAUUUCUCCUGAGGAGGCGAAAAGCAAGCCCUGACAUGCGGGAGCUUGGUGUUCUGUGAAACAGCAGCCAACACGAGUGUUUUCCAGGAACAUCAGCCUCAGAAAAGGCCACUCAGCCACCUCGGUGGAUCAAGGCACAGACAGAAGUGACC